UACGAAGGGUGCAAACGUUGCUCGGCAUUAUUGGGCGUAAGGCGCACGUAGGCGGCUUGGCAAGUCGGAUGUGAAAUCCCUCGGCUCAACCAAGGAAGUGCAUCCGAAACUGCUGAGCUUGAGUACUUAAGAGGAUCGCGGAAUUCCCGGUGUAGAGGUGAAAUUCGUAGAUAUCGGGAGGAACACCAGUGGCGAAGGCGGCGAUCUGGGAAGAUACUGACGCUGAGGUGCGAAAGCGUGGGGAGCAAACAGG
rnacentral:rRNA from 1 species